rnacentral:misc_RNA from 1 species
UGUGGGAGCGAGCCUGCUCGCGAUAGCGGUAUUUCAGUCAACUUUAUAUUGACUGGUCCACCGCUAUCGCGAGCAGGCUCGCUCCCACA